rnacentral:lncRNA from 1 species
AGAUACGGUCUCUGAGGUUGCUUGACAACAAGCCAUUUAGGCGUGCUCUGGUCCAUGGGGUCACGAAGAGUUGGACACGACUAAACGACUAAACGACGACGACGAAUUCCGCUCUGUAAAUCCCUGAACUUUUUCUGCUGCCCAGCCACAAGGUUUUGUGAGUAGAAAAUUGCUGAGAGUUUGACUUCUUCACUAAAGGAAAAAGGGAGUAAAGGGCUAUUGGUGCAUAGCUUGUAAAUUAAUUUCCAGAAGCUGAGUGAUGAGAAUUUAACUCCUUCGCUAAGGAGUGUGUGUGUUAUAAUUAAAUUCCUGAGUAACCUGGGCCGAUAAGAUAUUGCUGACAGGGUAAAAACAAAGUGCAGACUCCGUAAAAGCGAGGCUGCGCAGUAGAAAUAGAAUGUUUUUGUAACUUAAUGAAAUUGUAGUAAGUUUGUGAGCCGUAACGGACCGCCCGGACGGACAGCCUAUAUAAUGUGUACUCUUCCUUCGUUCCUCAGAGAAACCAACGCCUUGCUUGGCUUGCUUUCUCUCCGCUUUCUGCAGCAAGCGAAUAAUAAAGAGCCUCCACUUUGUAGCCUUCGUGUCUCUGUCCAUUUCUGUUGGGGGAAUUCAUAAGGGUCUUGAAUUCCGAUUAACAGUUUCAUACUCUGCCAAGAUGCAUAAUGUUGGAAACCGCAGACUCUUUAAAAAAGCCCUACUUAUUAUCAAAGACUGUUGAAUGUCAACUAGCUUCACUUGCCAACCACCAAAUACUGUAAAAUAUUUUCCAGAAAAUCUUCUUCUUCUUUUUUAAAAAAAUGAUACGGCUUCCUUAAUGGAAAGAAUUACACAAAUAUCAACACUUGGAAAAAUUACCUUUUUUGACUGAUGUUUCCCAGGCUGACUGAUGCUUCCCUUAAUCUAAAGGCAGUCCUUUCUUCCUCCUUGUGGUAGACUAGGAACUUCAUUUCAGUUACUUGCCGAUCGUAGUUCAAACAAAACCUUUCUUCGUAUGGGGCGUGGCGAGAUUGUGAGAUUUUAAAAAUUCUGGAAGGAACCAAAAUGAACACAGGCACAUUUAACUGGAGAUAGAUUUUUUUUUUUGAUUUUUUAGAACUAAAACAUGUCCUCAUUCCGGAAGGUCUACCUAGACUUGCAAAUACCCUGCCUAAAUAUCACUCACCUGAGAUGAAGGCCUCAACUGGAAGGCUUUGAAACUUAGCUAGGCCUAGCUCUGCUUAAGCUUCCUUUUCAAAAAAAACAAAAACAAAAACUCCCAGGUAUCACUGGGGCAGGAACAGGAAGUUUGGGUGGAGUUGGGCCUAGCCAAGCCUCCUAAUCUAGGCCUUUCUCCCAGGUGAGCAAAAUUAAGGAUUCCUCCCAGAAUGGAGACUUACAGGAUUUCUAGUCUAAGAAAGUCAAAAGGCUCAUUCCUAUCCUUAACAUCAAAAAAUAAUAGUUUGAAUCCCUGGAUAGUCAACCAUAUUUAAGUCCUCAUUUAAAAUGGCCACUCCCUUCACCUCCUGAAGCCCCUUAUCUUUAACAUGGCACAACGUGGUCUUCUCCAUCAUGGGGAUAACUGCAUCUAAUGUACUUGGUCGAUGCAGAUGGAGAUCAUGUUUU